rnacentral:rRNA from 1 species
UACGGAGGGGGCUAGCGUUGUUCGGCAUUACUGGGCGUAAAGCGCACGUAGGCGGCUUUGCAAGUCAGAGGUGAAAGCCCGGGGCUCAACCCCGGAAUUGCCUUUGAGACUGCAUCGCUAGAAUUGUGGAGAGGUAAGUGGAAUUCCGAGUGUAGAGGUGAAAUUCGUAGAUAUUCGGAAGAACACCAGUGGCGAAGGCGACUUACUGGACACAUAUUGAUGCUGAGGUGCGAAAGCGUGGGGAGCAAACAGG